rnacentral:rRNA from 1 species
ACGCUCGACACCUACAGGAGGCAGCAGUGGGGAAUAUUGCACAAUGGGGGAAACCCUGAUGCAGCGACGCCGCGUGAGCGAAGAAGUAUUUCGGUAUGUAAGGCUCUAUCAGCAGGGAAGAAACUGACGGUACCUGACUAAGAAGCACCGGCUAAAUACGUGCUAGCAGCCGCGGUAAUCUGAGCGGGCUGGCAAGGC